rnacentral:misc_RNA from 1 species
CAUGAAUAAAGCUAUCUACAGUUCUUCACGACUUUUUGAUAAAGUUCAUAUGGCUCCACCUAUUUCCUCCUUCCCCUAGUUUGAAGGAAAAGAGAUGCUAGAUAACUUAAAAGUUCUAUGCCCUAGCCAAUAGUGAAAUAAUGUGGACUUGAAGUAGUUAGCCUUAGCUCAAAAGUUGAACAAAGUUGUUCAAGGUUUUACAACUACUAUGCUUCAUGUAUCUCAAGAAAACCUUGACAAAUUGCACAGGUUAAAAAAAAUCAAGACACAAGGGAAAAGGAAGUGAAAUGGAACGAACCCAUCUUCUUCUUAGCUGCAG